rnacentral:lncRNA from 1 species
CUUGGCCGCAGGUGGAAGGGAGGGAGGCGCCCCCCUCGGUUUCGUCCGGGGAUGCCGCUUAGGCGGAGGCGGCGGCGGAGGCGCAGCCUCUCUCUUGGGGUGGCUGCCCUGCCUGUUUUCUUUUUUAAUGGGGCAGUGUAGUAGAGAGCAGGUUGUGUGUGUAGGGGGGUAGAACGGACCGCCUGCCUGCCUUGCGGCUAACUAUCCGCGCCUCCUCCUCGCUGGGGACGCGCAGCCCCUCAGAGCCGCGCGCUCAAGUUUUUGACCAGUUCUUGCUGGGAGGCGGCGUCCGCUGCUGCUGCCUGGGAUCCCUCCUUAUCGCCAGCCCCGCGAUUUCUGGGGAAACGCACACGGAGGCUCUGGCACGCAGCGGAGCCGAUGGGGGUGAAGGAGGCGGACCGAGCCCAGCAGGUGCAGCAACAGAGGCCAGAAGGAAGCCUGAAGAUCAGCAAGUCAUCUGCUUGGCAAGGAAGACCAAACAGUUCAUAAUAAAAAUAAAACAUCAAAGGAUUUCCAGAAUGAAUCCUAUGAACUUUCCACUGCCUUAAUAGUGCCAGAACUAGAGGAAGCCGUAAGAAGAUGUAGGAAUGGCAAAGCAACAGGACUCAAUGUUAUCUGGAUCGAGCAAAUUAAACAUUUUGGGGGAAAUACAAAUGAAUGGCUCCUUCAACUCUUUAAUAAUUGUUGGAUAAGCAAGAAAUUCCAGAAAUACGGUGGAAGAUUAAAGUAAUUGCCAUAGUGAAACCAGGCCAAGAACUAUAAGAUCCCCAAAGUUACAGGUCAGUCUUCCUACUAUGCCAUUUAUAAAAAAUCUUCGAAUGAAUGAUAUCAAACUGCCUAGCCCUAAAAUUGAAUAUCUUAUAAUUCCAGAAUAGACAGGCUUCAGAUCUGACAAAAGCUGCAUCAUUUGAAUCUUAGAAGAUGUUUCCUUAUACUGUAAAAACGGCCAACUGAAACCAAACCUUUAAAAACACAGAUCGGUGCCUUCUAUUUAAGGAACAGAGAAGCAGAGAGGAAGUUCCAAGUUAACAGGGAAGGCGAGGUUUGGGGAAAUAACCCUAUUUCGGAGUAUUUGGCAUCAGUCUAACCUAUAAAAAAUAACCUACAAAAAAAUAAAAGUUUCUGCCAGAAACA